UGAAGCUCAUUUAGAUGGAAAAUUUCAUCAAAAUUAUCACCUUGAGAACCCCGGAACUCCGUCCACGAUUUAAGAAUUGUUAAGCCAGCAGCUCUUUUAGACGAUUGUGAUGUAGACGAAGUAGGGGUUGGAAUAUUUUGCCUAGCAUGCUCUAACGCAUGUUUAUAAGCAUUAUAAACAGUUUGAGCAUUAAUUUUAAUUGAUGCUUUCGCAUCAACAAGUGUAGCAAAUUCGUCUUCUGAAAGAUCUAAUGCUUUAUAAAUAUUAGAAUACCAAAAGUGAGGACCUCCUAAUUUCAUUGUUGGAUUUAACAUAGCAGCUACACCAAAAAUAAGGGGGAUAGGAAAACCUCCUAAUUCAUUGUUGGAUUUACAUUGCAGCUACACCAAAAAUAGGAUGGAUAGGGAAAAAAUAUUUUUAAACUUUUGUUUCAUUUCAUUUAUAGCAAGUUCAUAAAUAUCCC
rnacentral:lncRNA from 1 species